rnacentral:rRNA from 1 species
UGGGGAAUAUUGCACAAUGGGCGAAAGCCUGAUGCAGCGACGCCGCGUGAGGGAUGGAGGCCUUCGGGUUGUAAACCUCUUUCAGUAAGGGUGAAGGCUCUCUUUUGUGGAGGGUUGACAGUACUUGCAGAAGAAGCGCCGGCUAACUACGUGCCAGCAGCCGCGGUAAUACGUAGGGCGCGAGCGUUGUCCGGAAUUAUUGGGCGUAAAGGGCUUGUAGGUGGCGUGUCGCGUCUGCUGUGAAAUUCCAGGGCUUAACUUUGGGAUUGCAGUGGGUACGGGCAUGCUAGAGUGCAGUAGGGGAGAUUGGAAUUCCUGGUGUAGCGGUGAAAUGCGCAGAUAUCAGGAGGAACACCGGUGGCGAAGGCGGGUCUCUGGGCUGUUACUGACGCUGAGGAACGAAAGCGUGGGGAGCGAACAGG